GACUAUAGUAGCAAGACAAUCUAACGAAAGAACUGAAGAUAUACAAGCGACAACUGCUACUAUAGUUAUAUGCGUCAACCAGACGAUAAGUCCAAAUAUACCCAAUCUGAUGCUGCUAUAUUGGUCCGCAGACCUCAAGCGUUGCCUGUCACAGAGCAGACACUGAGAGCUUAUUCAUGCGUCACCGACGACCUAUCCGGAUACGUACACCUCUUGUUGGUGGCCAAACCAACCUGGUGUCUAGAAUACACAGUGCUGUGACUAAAUCAUGCUGAUAUGCUCAAACGAAAUCCGGCUAAAGCCGGUGCCUAGGCCGAAGCCAGAAACAAGGGCGUACAACGCCAAACCACGAUCAACCAGAUCGAAACACAUGACAAGAGAGUCGAUGUGUUGCCUGGACCCAAGGUCCACAGAGUCCAACUGACCAACAAGGUCCCUGAUACGAAGUACGAGAACCGACCAACCAGGUCAACAGAUACGGAAUGCAACAACCAACCAACUAGAUCAACAGAUACGGAAUGCAACAACCGACCAACUAGGUCAACAGAUACGGAAUGCAACAACCGACCAACUAGGUCAACAGAUACGGAAUGCAACUACAGACCAACUAGGUCAACAGAUACGCAUGUAGAUAGAACUACUCUACUCCUACUCAGGAUACUAAGCAUGCAAACAACGAGUAGAGUAUAACGAAUAAACAAGGGUGCAAGGCUCAAUAUACUAUGCGAUAGUAACAACAGAAGAGUAAGGGUAAGAAACCAUCACCAAGCGUGCACCACUGUACCGACGUCGGAUCGAAGUACCCACCUGUAAGGAUGUCGCGUCUGUCUCCUGACUGCAAAAGAAUGUCGACAGGGCCUAUAGAGGGUCCACCGGGUUAGUAUCUAACCCACAACUAAUAAUCACAGUAUCCACAACCCCACAAACAAUUUCAUGAAGAUCGGUUUCCCAAUACCGAUUACCGUUCGCCCGAAGUCCCGAAAACCACACCGGGACGCCGUCGGGACCCACUAAGUGUCCCGAAACUCACCAACUCGUACCACGAGUCACCCGCUGCCACAAAACACACCAAUUUGAAUGUCUUGGCAGUAAACACAAGGUAACACAACCCAACAAUUAUCGUCGGAUAAUUGUUCGGAUCCGGAUUCCCAGAAGUGUCUAUUUCGACACCGGAACCACCGUCGCUCACCCGUCAUCAUCGAACCCACAAAAUGAUGAUGGUGACCAGCCAACAAGGCUCAGCGACAACUCAACGGACAACCAAACCACGUCGGAAGAAAUCCGAAUCAAAUCCGCGUUCUUUCGGCGAAUUUCGCUGAAAAACGCACCGUAACCGACUCUUCGAUUUCCGCAAAGGCUAUUGGAUCAU
rnacentral:lncRNA from 1 species